rnacentral:rRNA from 1 species
GACAGAGGGUGCAAACGUUGCUCGGAAUUAUUGGGCGUAAAGCGCGCGCAGGUGGUUCCUUAAGUCUGAUGUGAAAGCCCACGGCUCAACCGUGGAGGGUCAUUGGAAACUGGGGAACUUGAGUGCAGAAGAGGAAAGUGGAAUUCCACGUGUAGCGGUGAAAUGCGUAGAGAUGUGGAGGAACACCAGUGGCGAAGGCGACUUUCUGGUCUGUAACUGACACUGAGGCGCGAAAGCGUGGGGAGCGAACAGG